rnacentral:rRNA from 1 species
AACGAACGCUGGCGGCAGGCCUAACACAUGCAAGUCGAACGCUCCAGCAAUGGAGAGUGGCAGACGGGUGAGUAACGCGUGGGAACCUACCCUUUGGUUCGGAAUAGCCCAGGGAAACUUGGGGUAAUACCGGAUAAGCCCUUCGGGGGAAAGAUUUAUCGCCAAUGGAUGGGCCCGCGUCGGAUUAGCUAGUUGGUGGGGUAACGGCCCACCAAGGCGACGAUCCGUAGCUGGUCUGAGAGGAUGAUCAGCCACACUGGGACUGAGACACGGCCCAGACUCCUACGGGAGGCAGCAGUGGGGAAUAUUGGACAAUGGGCGCAAGCCUGAUCCAGCCAUGCCGCGUGAGUGACGAAGGUCUUCGGAUUGUAAAGCUCUUUUGGCGGGGAAGAUAAUGACGGUACCCGCAGAAUAAGCCCCGGCUAACUUCGUGCCAGCCGCCGCGGUAA